GGUGGGGUGGCCGAGCGGUUUAAGGCGGAAGUUCGCUAAACUUCUGAGGAUUAAAACUCCUCGCGCAGGUUCGAAUCCUGUCCCCACCG
rfam:Candidatus Woesebacteria bacterium RIFCSPHIGHO2_12_FTLL_46_16 rifcsphigho2_12_scaffold_91259, whole genome shotgun sequence.